GAGUUUGAUCAUGGCUCAGAUUGAACGCUGGCGGCAUGCCUUACACAUGCAAGUCGAACGGCAGCAUGAUCUAGCUUGCUAGAUUGAUGGCGAGUGGCGAACGGGUGAGUAAUACAUCGGAACGUGCCCUGUAGUGGGGAGUAACUAGUCGAAAGAUUAGCUAAUACCGCAUACGACCUGAGGGUGGAAAGUAGGGGGACCGGCAAGGCCUCAUGCUAUAGGAGCGGCCGAUGUCUGAUUAGCUAGUUGGUGGGGUAAAGGGCCCGACCAAGGCGACGAUCAGUAGCUGGUCUGAGAGGACGAUCAGCCACACUGGGACUGAGACACGGCCCAGACUCCUACGGGAGGCAGCAGUGGGGAAUUUUGGUACG
rnacentral:rRNA from 1 species